rnacentral:rRNA from 1 species
AUUGAACGCCGGCGGAAUGCUUUACACAUGCAAGUCGAACGGUAGAGGGGGCAACCCCUCGAGAGUGGCGAACGGGUGAGUAAUAUAUCGGAACGUGCCCAGUCGUGGGGGAUAACGUAGCGAAAGUUACGCUAAUACCGCAUACGAUCUAAGGAUGAAAGCGGGGGAUCGCAAGACCUCGCGCGAUUGGAGCGGCCGAUAUCAGAUUAGGUAGUUGGUGGGGUAAAGGCUCACCAAGCCAACGAUCUGUAGCUGGUCUGAGAGGACGACCAGCCACACGGGAACUGAGACACGGUCCAGACUCCUACGGGAGUCAGCAGUGGGGAAUUUUGGACAAUGGACGCAAGUCUGACCCAGCCAGUCCGCGUGCAGGAUGAAGGCCCUCGGGUUGUAAACUGCUUUUGUACAGAACGAAAAGGUUUCUACUAAUACCAGGAGCUCAUGACGGUACUGUAAGAAUAAGCACCGACUAACUACGUGCCAGCCGCCGCGGUAA